AGAGUUUGAUCCUGGCUCAGAAUCAACGCUGGCGGCGCGCCUAACACAUGCAAGUCGAACGAGAAAGGGGAGCAAUCCCUGAGUACAGUGGCGUACGGGUGAGUAACACGUGGGUAAUCUACCUUCUGGUGGGGAAUAACUCUGGGAAACCGGAGAUAAUACCGCAUAAGUCCGAGAGGGGAAAGCAGCAAUGCGCCGGA
rnacentral:rRNA from 1 species